UCUCGGUGAUGAACAAAAAUGAUGACGAGUCCGAUUUCUUCCAUUCUCUAAAUCGUGACGACAAAUCGAGGCAUUUGUCUGAGAGAA